UAUUCGCCAUGCGCAUGUAUACAUUUAAUGCAGAACCUCAAGUAAACCAAGUGAUGUUUCACGUGUGAAGUUAACCUCCGUGUGAGCCUGAUUAUUUAUUAAUAAGUAGUCGCAUAGACACGACAAGCAACACUGUAAAUGGCACCAUAUGGAUCUGACCUUUCAAACGGUCAAAGUCCCCAGGGGUGACGAUCAGGAGGACACACAGAGGAAGAUCCUGGAGCAAGCGCUUCAGAAUAGGUUCCAGGCUUGUUACCAAGACAACCUGUUGAGAGUGAGAGAGAGCACCGCAGCACGGAAACUGACUGUGGGUGAGUGAGAACAGAGCAUUCAAGGGGGCGACAGCAUGAUACUGUUGUCAUUCCUGUGCAUGGAAAUGUUGCGUUAAUGUUGUGUUACUGUUGUGUUAAUGUUGUGUUACUGUUGUGUUAAUGUUGUGUUA
ensembl:lncRNA